UUUUUGUGGUUAACAGAGGCAGUUGCUUAUCCUGUUUUCUAUUUAACUUGUCGUCUUGGAAUCCAUUAAAAGAACACAGAUGACUGACAGAUGCUGAUACCAGAAGACUUCCUGCAUAUUCACUGGGUGAGUUCCUCCCCUUCCUGCUGGAGGAAGCAUCAAAGACAACACCCCAGAAGAUCUUUCUGCUCCAUAUUUGUUUCAAUAAAACUUUAUUCCUAUUA